AUGCGCUCCGCCCCCCGCCGGCAGCAUCACCCCGCGGCCGCAGCGAGGAGAGCCGGGGGAACCGCUCGGUACCGGAGCUUCUCCUUUCUGUGCCGCCGCACACACACCCCCACCACUGAGUUCGCCUCUGCCGAGAAGGGCCGGGCCCGCAGCACAGGCCGAGGAGGCACUUCGCGUCGGGACGGCCCCGCGCCCGGCUCCUUACCCGGCCGUCAUCACCACGUUGUAAAUGACGAGGUAGGCCGUGGCCAGGGCUCCCGGGCCCUUCCUCCGCCUUGGCUGCUGCCCGCCGUAGCCGUUGUCCGCUCGGCUGCCUCCGCCGCCCGCCGCCGCCAUGUUGCGGCGCUCCCGCGGCCUCCGCCCGCUCUCGGCGCACGGUGGGUGCGAGGGGCGGGGCCUCCCCGCCGCCAUGUUGGAGGAGGGCACAGCGGAGUCCGGCCCUCGGGCUGCGGGAGGCGAGGAUUGAGUGUUUCUUUGCGCCUUAAAACAGAGGCUACAAACAGUGCUGUGCAGGAGAGUCCCACAGAAAUCGCCUUCCUGAACUGUGCAUUUCCCCACCAUAAGGUAAGAGUUUGGGGCACAGCAGCCUCCUGCCGCACUCACAGAACAGGACGAGUGCAGCCGUACCACAAACACUGAGCAAGUGUCAUUAUUGCCUCCGCACCCAUUUCUGUGCCAGGCAGGUGUGAGGCCAGAGUAGGAAAGGAGGCUGCUGUCGGUGUCCUUAAGAGAUGUGAACACACUGACGCCUGCAACAGAGCAUACAAGUAGCGUGCUUUGUGGUAUUAUUUAUUUAGGAACUGUGAGUAACUACAGCCGUAGCGUUCUCAUCUUUGCAACUCUGAUGGUUUAACAAACAGGGAAAACAUCAGCGUAUUUUUAUUAAGGUACAAAAUACACCCCAUUGUUGCCUAAAACAUUUAAAAACGUGAGAAAAGCUCUGUAUGUUCUAAAUCAGAUUAAAAACCUUUCUGUAUAAGGAAUCGUGGCAAUACUGUGUUUAGUAUAACAAGAGUUCUUUAUCGAUUGAAAAGGAAAAGACAUGCUGGCAAUCUGAACUUAGCAACAAAGAGUAAAGCAGUUAAAAACCAUUGUGUCAUCCACAGUAGUUGAGCUUUGAAUGCAGAAGAGCAAAUCAUAUGAAACACAUACACAACUGGGUAAUAUCAAACAACCUAAGGCUGAUAUUGUACACACCUGUAAUAAAGUACACUGCCUACUUAACUGUGAGGACA
rnacentral:lncRNA from 1 species